rnacentral:lncRNA from 1 species
GCCUGUCCUCCUCUCCACUUGGUCACAGCCUGUCCUCCUCUCCACUUGGUCACAGCCUGUCCUCCUCUCCACUUGGUCACAGCCUGUCCUCCUCUCCACUUGGUCACAGCCUGUCCUCUCCGCAGCCCAACUGGAGGAACCAUUUUCUCCAGAUACUGGCUGGUUGCUAAGCAACAAUAUGGGAAAAAAUUUUCACACACGAGUUUAAUAACAGAUCAGAUCGUCCAACCCUUCUAUAUAGCAAUAACCUAUUGACGUGACUCAAAUAAGAUCUGAUCGCAGAUCCGAUUCACCAAUUGCCUACAGCAGAAAUCUGUUGAGAUGAUUCAGAUUUGUUUCUUGCAACACACCCAAAGGUUGGUGGUAUUUGCUUUCGGUGCAGCAUGGUAGUUGAAUAUGAUCUCCUUCUACAAUGCAGAUCCUCAAACCCCUCUUAAUCUUAACAGAUACCUGUUGCUGGGUGCAGAGUUAGAGAGACAGGCAGCAGAAACCUGUUGCUGGGUGCAGAGCUAAAGAGACAGGCAGUAGAGACUUGGCUCUAGAACACACUGAUCUAUAACCAACAGGCUCUAGAAUACACUGAUCUAUAACCAACAGGCUCUAGAAUACACUGAUCUAUAACCAACAGGCUCUAGAAUACACUGAUCUAUAAACAACAGGCUCUAGAAUGCACGGAUCUAUAACCAACAGGUUCUAGAACACACUGAUCUAUAACCAACAGGCUCUAGAAUACACUGAUCUAUAACCAACAGGCUCUAGAAUACACUGAUCUAUAACCAACAGGCUCUAGAAUACACUGAUCUAUAACCAACAGGCUCUAGAAUACACUGAUCUAUAACCAACAGGCUCUAGAAUACACUGAUCUAUAACCAACAGGCUCUAGAAUACACUGAUCUAUAAACAACAGGCUCUAGAAUACACUGAUCUAUAACCAACAGGCUUGGCUCUAGAACACACUGAUCUAUAACCAACAGGCUCUAGAACACACUGAUCUAUAACCAACAGGCUCUAGAAUACACUGAUCUAUAACCAACAGGCUCUAGAAUAGUUUGAUCUAUAACCAACAGGCUCUAGAAUACACUGAUCUAUAACCAACAGGCUCUAGAAUACACUGAUCUAUAACCAACAGGCUCUAGAAUACACUGAUCUAUAACCAACAGGCUCUAGAACACACUGAUCUAUAACCAACAGGCUCUAGAACACACUGAUCUAUAACCAACAGGCUCUAGAAUACACUGAUCUAUAACCAACAGGGUCUAGAAUACACUGAUCUAUAACCAACAGGUUCUAGAAUAGACUGAUCUAUAACCAACAGGUUCUAGAAUACACUGAUCUAUAACCAACAGGCUCUAGAAUACACUGAUCUAUAACCAACAGGCUCUAGAACACACUGAUCUAUAACCAACAGGCUCUAGAACACACUGAUCUAUAACCAACAGGCUCUAGAAUACACUGAUCUAUAACCAACAGGGUCUAGAAUACACUGAUCUAUAACCAACAGGUUCUAGAAUAGACUGAUCUAUAACCAACAGGUUCUAGAAUACACUGAUCUAUAACCAACAGGCUCUAGAAUACACUGAUCUAUAACCAACAGGCUCUAGAAUACACUGAUCUAUAAACAACAGGCUCUAGAAUACACUGAUCUAUAACCAACAGACUUGGUUCUAGAAUAUACCUCUAUACAUACAGUACUUUCAGCGGUGACCUGUCAUUCAGGGCUGUUUUGAGCCCUACCUGCUUAGCCCCCCCUGUUUUGCAUGUUAUUUUUAUCAGUUUGCAAACAAUAAAAAAAUAAUUGAGUUAAUAAAGCCACAUGCAAAACAUUUUUUUUCUUGAGUAAGGCAGCUCCAAAAUGCAGGUGUUUCAUCCUAGCUCAGUGAUUUCUGUGGUGGUGGAGCAGCCAGCGGGAAAUACAGGGCGUAGGGGUUGGUAACGUUCUCUAAUUGCGCCGUGAUUGGCUCAGUGUUGUCACUCAUUGGGAUACUAGGUCACCGCAAAAUCUACAGGGAGAGCUCGAAAAUUCAAGCCCCUUGGGUUCUGCCAUAGAUUUACAUUAGAAGUGCCCAUCCAAGAAGGCUCAAGAUCAUUGGCCACAGAUAUAAUUACAUCAAAUCACGUUAUAUGUACCGUUGCUUUGAUUGGACUGAUCAUGUCAACAUACUUUCAAAAUCUUAGCUAGCAAGCGGUCAUCAUCAUGCAUCAAGUCAACAAUCUACUGGCAAAUCCUUCUCAAGGUGAGAAAUUACAGCUAAAACGUAUCGGUGCUCGUCGGCUAUUGGACAUAAACAUUACACAAGUUGGAAAUAGGAAAUUCAACAAUGAGUGGUUUGGAAGGAAUCAGUGGCUAACUGCAAGCGUUGCUAAGCAAUCACUAGCCGGCUAAUCAGUGGAGAGGGUGUGUGGUCCAAGUCUGGGUUUAAGGGUCUCUUUUCCAAGCUUAAAAAGGAUAAACAUUCACAUGCAACACAAUGGCCCAUUCAAAACAACUGGAAACUCGGAAAUCUCAGACUUCAGUGAGUUCAAGACAACUGGGAACUCUGGAAAGAAAAUGUUUUAAAAAGAGUUCCCGACUGGGAAAAUGUGUUUUUAACGGUCAUCCAACUCGGAAACUUUCUGACUUUAAGAUUAUGAUUCACUCCAUUUCUUUUUUCCUGAGUUUUGUUUGUUUUCCUGAGUUUCCAGUUUUUCUUCCACAAAUGUCUUGUUAACAAACUAUAGUUUUGGCAAGUCAGUUAAGACAUCUACUUUGUGCAUGACACAAGUCAUUUUUCCAACAAUUGUUUACAGACAGAUUAUUUCACUUAUAAUUCACUGCAUCACAAUUCCAGUGGGUCAGAAGUUUACAUACACUAAGUUGACUGUGCCUUUAAACAGCUUGGAAAAUUCCAGAAAAUUAUGUAAUUGCCAAUCAGAAGCUUUUAUGGAUGUAUUUCAAGGCCUACCUUCAAACUCAGUGCCUCUUUGCUUGACAUCGUGGGAAAAUCAAAAUAAAUCAGCCAAGAACUCAACCACAAGCCUGGUUCAUUCUUGGGAGCAAUUUCCAAAUGCCUGAAGGCACCACGUUCAUCUGUACAAACAAUAGUAUGCAAGUAUAAACACCAUGGGACCACGCAGCCGGCAUACCAGGAAGGAGACGUAUUCUGUCUCCUAGAGAUGAAUGUACUUUGGUGCGAAAAGUGCAAAUCAAUCCCAGAACAACAGCAAAGGACCUUGUGAAGAUGCUGGAGGAAACAGGGUCAAAAGUAUCUAUAUCCACAGAAAAAUUAGUCCUAUAUCCACAGAACCUGAAAGGUCACUCAGCAAGGAAGAAGCCACUGCUCAAAAAUCACCAUAAAAAAAACUGACUACGGUUUGCAACUGCACAUUGGGACAAAGAUCAUACUUUUUGGAGAAAUGUCCUCUGGUCUGAUGAAACAAAAAUAGAACUGUUUGGCCAUAAUGACCAUCGUUAUGUUUGGAGGAAAAAGGGGGAGGCUUGCAAGCCGAAGAACACCAUCCCAACCGUGAAGCAUGGGGGUGGCAGCAUCAUGUUGUGGGGGUGCUUUGCUGCAGGAGGGACUGGUGCACUUCACAAAAUAGAUGGCAUCAUGAGGAGGAAAAUUAUGUGGAUAUAUUGAAGCAAUGUCUUCCAAAGGGACAAUGACCCCAAGCAACCUUCCAAAGUUGUGGCAAAAUGGCCUAAGGACAACAAACUCAAGGUAUUGGAGUGGAUAUCACAAAGCCCUGACCUCAAUCCUAUAGAAAAUCUCUGGGCAGAACUGAAAAAGCGUGUGCGAGCAAGGAGGCCUACAAACCUGACUCAGUUACACCAGCUCUGUCAGGAGGAAUGGGCCAAAAUUCACCCAACUUAUUGUAGGAAGGCUACCCGUAACGUUUGCCCCAAGUUAAACAAUUUUAAGGCAAUGCUACCAAAUACUAAUUGAGUGUAUGUAAACUUCUGACCCACUGGGAAUGCACAUGUAGCCUGUUUUAGAGAAAUGCAAUCAUUGAAUAUUCUAAGAGCUUUCAUUGGUUUCCUUAUAUUCCCCCUUAAUUUAUCUUACGGUUCUGACUUGGUGUACAGGGAAAACACUAAGAACGGCCCAUGUUCUGAAUUCUGUCACUGUACAUUUCAAAAGGGCUGAACAAAUAGUUAUGACUACGUGCAUUUUAGCUCGCUCAUUGUCUUAAUAAAAAUGACGGAUUUCCUCUUAUUGUGCCCUUAUGCCAUAGUAUGUACAUCUUAAAUUGUUAGUAGAAACCACAUUUGUUUAAGCAAGUCUGACAUAUCAGCUUUUUUAAAACUUUUUUUUUAAUAAGGCAGUAAACGAGGCUGAAUAAACUGUUUUGCUGCCAGACAAGGCUCCGCUGAUCGCCAGGUGAGGUUUCACUCCACGAAGCUGAAAGAUAAGCCGUGGUACUGGGACAGCUUUAUGUAAGCCGUAACAGUUUGUGGGAACCGUUAUAGUGCAAUUAAUGUAUUGUUUAGUGGCUUUGCUGGCAUGCAUUAAAAAAUAUAGAAUUUUUAUUUGGAGGGGGGGGGGGGGGUUCACCCCUCCAAGAUAAAGAAAUAAAAAAAUCGAAGUAAAGUUCUCCUUGUGAUGCAAGAGUAGAAAUGGUGCAUUUAAUUCAACGACGUUUCUGUGUUUUUAUAGAUGCAACGGAAAGACAAUGUAUCCCCAUUUCAGCCAUUAUCAUUGUUUGACAGGUCAUUUUGUAACAUUUCCGCAGGAGUACCAUUAACUGGGUGGGGGGAGGCACAAGAAAGAGUAUGAAAGUCACACGAGUAUAAUAAAAGCAAUCAAUCCAGUGAGACUUCAAUGAUAAGUGGAUUUUGUACCCCUCAAACACUGAAAAAGAGACCAACCCUCAGGUUGAUGAGUCAUGCAUUUUUGCUUACUCAAAAUAAAUACAACUGCCCGUUAGAAAUCUGUUGUGCUGGCUCUAUGCAGUCACCUCACCUAAAAAGGUACAGUUCUCAUAGUGGUGAAGUC